rnacentral:lncRNA from 1 species
GCUGGAGAGAGAGAGAGGGAGGAUCUCCUCCACCACCGCCGCGAGAGCUCCGACGAAUUCUCCAAGCUCGGCGCCGCUGCCCGCGCAGCUGCUGGAGAGAGAUGAGAGAGCGAGAGGAGCCGGCUGGGAGAGAGAGAGGGAGAUGAGAAAGAGAGAGGAAAGAUAGAGAAUGGUAGAAUAGUCAUGACAUACAAAAAAUGGCCAAAAUUUAUGCUUUUUCAAAUGGUGGACAAAAUUUGAUGUUGUAUGUUGAAUAGGGCCAUUCGGCCCUAUUGUUUCUUAAUUUAUUCUAAACUUAAUAAUUAUCGUCAAAAUAUAUAAAA